ensembl:lncRNA novel transcript
AGAACCACUGACUUAUGUGGUCAGAAGUGAUCGACUCCCUGGGCUGGGAAGCUCCAAUUUUCUCCUCCAGAUUUCCUGUGUCGCCCUCUCCUCCCUGUCCUCUGCCCCAUUAGGGAGGAUGCAUGGAUUCCUUCAGCAAGCUCUUUGUCCUUCGGUUUCCAGUGAAAAGGCUGGCAUAGAAGCUGUCUGAAUCUAUGAAAUCAAAAAAGGAUCAAAGUAGAGACACAAAUUCCUCUGAACUUGAAAUUGAAAUGAGUGUGUUGCCAGCAUCUAUUCAUCCGCCUAAAACCAAGUAAAUCAUUUCAGAAGAAGUUUUCAGCAGUCUAUCAAAGUGACAAGAGUGGUGAGGUAGUAAAGUAGAAACGCAUUGACAACUUUAUUCCUAUUGACUGGAUAAAUAAUCUUCAUGACUCAAAGUGAUGAAACGCAUCAGAAAUAGAAGCAAAAUGUUCACGUUUCAGUCCGUGAGUAGGGCUUGAAUCCCACAGGAGGAAUUAAGAAAAAGAAGCGAACACUCGGAGGAUAACAUCGCAAUAUUACUUAGCCAUUAUUCUUUACAGUGUUAGGCCCCUUCCAGAGAUGUUUGACUGAUUUGUUGCUUGUCCACGUAGAUGCGUGAAUACACUAAAUAGUCAUCAAAUAUGGGUCAAGUAGUGUGCUGGUUGUUUUACGUAUGUUCUCCUUUAAUUUACCCAACAAUAUUGUGACAUAUCAUCAUUAUUUUAAGAAUGAGAAAGCUUAAAGUUAAUAGAGAUUAAAAAAUAAUUUUCCAACUCUCUAUAAUGAGCA